AAACAUUUAUAAAAUAUAGUAAAAUUUUAGAUUAGGGUGAAUUUGAGUAAAUUUAAAAAUGUUUCUUAAAUGUUAAUAAAAAAGAAAUGAAAAGAAAAAAAGAAAAAGGCUUUUGAGUCAAGUCAAACACUAUCUCCAUAAAAGGGACCCACAUAAGAAAGCUUACUCACCGUCCAUCGCCACUCAUCAAUCCUUAUAUAAACAACAACUACAAUUUUCAAACCAAACAGAGAGAUGCCACACACAGAAAUGCCGAAUCUAUAUUCUCCGCCCAUGCUCAACCCCCGGAUUUCUUCUUUCCUUUUAAUCAUCUUCUUAAUUGCCGCUCCACGCUUCUUUCUCUAUGUAGAUUGCAGACCCCUCCGCCCCGGUUCACCCAUAGAUCGCCACCAUGUUCAUGAUAAUGCCUCUGCUCUUCCCCACAACGCCCCCCCGGAAACACAAAAAGCAGCAACGGCGCCUAUAGAUUCCGGUGCCCCGCCGAUCGGAGAUGAAGGCGGUGGCGUAGCGUUUACUAUGGCUUCGGGACCCAGCAGAAAGGGUGCUGGCCAUUAAACCGAUGGAACAUAUUCUUUGCCCAUUUCAUAUUGCCAGAUCUAAUUUUUUGGCUUUAUUCUUUGGGGUUGUAACUUCACUUGUAAUAUGUACAUAACAUACAUACAAUACAAGCUUCUUACUAUACAUAUUUUUUUUUGUCCCCCUCAUAUAGAGGUUUUGGAUUUUAGUCCUUAAAUUUUUUUAAUAUCCACAUUUUGGGAUUACUUUUGGACUAAGGUAAUUGUUGGAGAAUUUAGCGCCUCGAUAAAUGUCUUAGAUAUUAUAAUUAAGCUCACCUUCGAGUUUCAGAGCUUAUAAAAGUUUUGUAUUUGAGCUCCUGCAUUUGCAUUAAUAUUUAUUUUCACUCGUGGUUCUUUACUUUCAAUUUCAUGGAAAUGCUAAAUAUUAUAAUUAUU
rnacentral:lncRNA from 1 species